AUUGAACGCUGGCGGCAGGCCUAACACAUGCAAGUCGAACGGUAGCAGGGAGCUAGCUCCUGGAUACAGGGGCGGAGGGGUGAAAAGUGCCGGAAAAUCUCCCGGGUUGGGGGAGAUAACGUCCGAAAAGGGGCGAAAAUACCGCAUAAGCCCUGAGGGAGAACGGGGGAGAGCAUGGGAUCUCACGCUAUCAGAUGAGCCUAGGUCGGAUUAGCUAGUUGGGGGGGUAAAGGCCCACCAAGGCGACGAUCCGUAGCUGGUCUGAGAGGAUGAUCAGCCACACUGGAACUGAGACACGGUCCAGACUCCUACGGGAGGCAGCAGUGGGGAAUAUUGGACAAUGGGCGCAAGCCUGAUCCAGCCAUGCCGCGUGUGUGAAGAAGGCCUUCGGGUUGUAAAGUCCUUUUGUUUGGAAGGAAACGCAGCAGGUUAAUACCCUGCUGUUAUGACGGUACCGACAGAAUAAGCACCGGCUAACUUCGUG
rnacentral:rRNA from 1 species